rnacentral:misc_RNA from 1 species
GAUGAAGAACGUAGCUAAAUGCGAUAAGUAAUGUGAAUUGCAGAAUUCAGUGAACCAUCGAAUCUUUGAACGCACAUUGCGCCCGCCAGUAUUCUGGCGGGCAUGCCUGUCCGAGCGUCAUCUCAACCCUCGAGCCCCCCCGGGGGCUCGGCGUUGGGGACCGGCCCCGCCCCAGGGCGCGCCGCCCCCCAAAUACAGUGGCGGUCCCGCCGCAGCCUCCCCUGCGCAGUAGCUUGCACACUCGCACCGGAGAGCGGCGCGGCCACGCCGUAAAACCCCCCGACCACGGAGCCCCGGCUCCUGAACGUUGACCUCGGAUCAGGUAGGAAUACCCGCUGAACUUAAGCAUAUCAAUAAGCGGAGGA